rnacentral:rRNA from 1 species
CACCUCUAGCAUUACUAGUAUUAGAGGCAAUGCCUGCCCAGUGACACCAGUUUAACGGCCGCGGUAUUCUGACCGUGCAAAGGUAGCAUAAUCACUUGUUCUCCAAAUAAGGACUUGUAUGAAUGGCCACACGAGGGUUUUACUGUCUCUUACUUCCAAUCAGUGAAAUUGACCUUCCCGUGAAGAGGCGGGAAUAAAAAAAUAAGACGAGAAGACCCUAUGGAGCUUUAAUUAACUAUUCCAAAAGUUAAACAAUUCAACCACAAAGGGAUAAAACAUAACUUAACAUGGACUAGCAAUUUCGGUUGGGGUGACCUCGGAGUACAAAAAACCCUCCGAGUGAUUUUAAUCUAGACAAACCAGUCAAAAUAACCAUAACAUCACUUAUUGAUCCAAAACUUUGAUCAACGGAACAAGUUACCCUAGGGAUAACAGCGCAAUCCUAUUCUAGAGUUCCUAUCGACAAUAGGGUUUACGACCUCGAUGUUGGAUCAGGACACCCAAAUGGUGCAACCGCUAUUAAAGGUUCGUUUGUUCAACGAUUAAAGUCCUA